rnacentral:rRNA from 1 species
CCUACGGGAGGCAGCAGUGGGGAAUAUUGGACAAUGGGGGGAACCCUGAUCCAGCGACGCCGCGUGAGUGAAGAAGUAUUUCGGUAUGUAAAGCUCUAUCAGCAGGGAAGAAAGAAAUGACGGUACCUGACUAAGAACCCCCGGCUAACUACGUGCCAGCAGCCGCGGGAAUACGUAGGGGGCAAGCGUUAUCCGGAUUUACUGGGUGUAAAGGGAGCGUAGACGGCGAUGCAAGUCUGAAGUGAAAGGCGGGGGCCCAACCCCUGGACUGCUUUGGAAACUGUAUGGCUGGAGUGCAGGAGAGGUAAGUGGAAUUCCUAGUGUAGCGGUGAAAUGCGUAGAUAUUAGGAGGAACACCAGUGGCGAAGGCGGCUUACUGGACUGUAACUGACGUUGAGGCUCGAAAGCGUGGGGAGCAAACAGGAUUAGAUACCCCAGUAGUC